rnacentral:rRNA from 1 species
AUANNNNCUGGNNAAGCCCUUCGAGUUACAGGNGCCCCGCCCGGGUGACUUACACGUGAGUANCCUGCCCUUGACUCUGGGACCCCCGUUNNNCNNUGCUAAUACCGGAUAUGAACCCUUUUCGCAUGAUUUGGGUUGGAAAGCUCCGGCGGUCAGGGAUGGACUCGCGGCCUAUCAGACUUGUUGGUGAGGUAGUGGCUCACCAAGGCUUCGACGGGUAGCCGGCCUGAGAGGGCGACCGGCCACAUUGGGACUGAGAUACGGCCCAAACUCCUACGGGAGGCAGCAGUGGGGAAUAUUGCACAAUGGGCGAAACCUGAUGCAGCAACGCCGCGUGCGGGAUGACGGCCUUCGGGUUGUAAACCGCUUUCAGCGCAGACGAAGCUAACGUGACGGUAUGCGCAGAAGAAGCACCGGCCAACUACGUGCCAGCAGCCGCGGUGAUACGUAGGUGCGACCGUUUGUCCGGGAAAUAUUGGGCGUAAAGAGCUUGUAGGCGGUUUGUUGCGUCAAAGUAAAACUCAGGCUUAACCCUGAGCUGCUUCUGAUACGGCAGACUAGAGCAUUAGGGAGACGGAAUCUGGUUGGACGUUGAUGCGCAGUAUCAGAGACACGUGCAAGCGUUCUCUGGUCCUGAGCUGAGAACGAAACGUGGGGACAAACAGCUUAAAACCCUGUAGUCCCACGCGUAACGGUGUACUAGUGUGGUCACCAUUCCACGUGAAUCCGUUGCCGCCACUAACGCAUUAAGUAACCCCGCCUGGGGGAGUACGGCGCAAGGCUAAAACUCAAAGGAAUUUGACGGGGCCCCGCACAAGCGGCGGAGCAUGCGGAUUAAUUUCGAUGCAACGCGAAGAACCUUACCUGGGUUUGACAUAUACCGGAAACGCCAAGAGAUUGGUGCCCCUUUUUGGUCGGUAUACAGGUGGUGCAUGGCUGUCGUCAGCUCGUGUCGUGAGAUGUUGGGUUAAGUCCCGCAACGAGCGCAACCCUCGUCCAAUGUUGCCAGCACGUUAUGGUGGGGACUCAUUGGAGACCGCCGGGGUCAACUCGGAGGAAGGUGGGGAUGACGUCAAGUCAUCAUGCCCCUUAUGUCCAGGGCUUCACGCAUGCUACAAUGGCCGGUACAAAGGGCUGCGAACCUGUAAGGGUGAGCGAAUCCCAAAAAGCCGGUCUCAGUUCGGAUUGGGGUCUGCAACUCGACCCCANGAAGGUCGGAGUCCGCUAGUAAUCGCAGAUCACAACGCUCGCCGUGAAUANGNUCCCGGGCUCGUACACACCGCCCGACAAGUCAUGAAAGGUCGNNNNCAACGAGCACUGCG